rnacentral:rRNA from 1 species
CAUAACACAUGCAAGUCGAACGCGGAAGAAUCUCCCGGGAUUUUGAAGAGUGCGAACGGUGAGGAACACGUAAGAAUCUACCUUUCGGUUGGGGAUAACUUCUGGAAACGGGAGCUAAUACCCAAUACGCUGUGGAGUGAAAGAAUUUCGCCCAAAGAUGAUCUUGCGUCUGAUUAGCUAGUUGGUAGGGUAAUGGCUUACCAAGGCGACGAUCAGUAGCUGGUCUGAGAGGAUGGACAGCCACAUUGGAACUGAGACACGGUCCAAACUCC